GGUGUCAGCAGUUCUCUGUGAUAGCAUCCCUGCUUGUGACAGCUAGAAGGAAAAAGUGGGUGUUUGUUGAUGAGGUUAUACUCAAAUUUGAUUGAGACCUGCUGUCUGUUGUUGUGUUCCAAUGCAGAAAGUGUUGUCAGUGGGUAGCUGGUGAGGAGCUGGGUGCUAGGCAGCAAGAGGUCAAAAAUACAGAGCUGCUGAGUUGGUCCUGUUUUAUUUGGUAUUGUUUGUGAGGCUCAGUGGAAUGUAAUCCCUUAUUUUAGAUGAUGUCUCACUGUCCCUGAAAACAUGUCUCUUAAAAGUUUUGCUGUUAUUAUUUUCAGCUUCAGCAUGCAUUUGUGAACUAACUGUACUCAGGAAGGGUGCUCUGCCGUUGAUUCAGUUCUUGUCCUACAAAACAUCCCCACUAAAAUGUUUUGGAAAUGGCUUAAGGUAUAAUCUGCAGUGUGAGGAGGCUGGCAGUGAGAAUGGUUGUGGCUUUGAUAUUAGGUGGCCUGUGUAGGCUUGGCUUUGACCCUUCAGUGAGGUAUCAGAAUUUCCUGUCUGAAGAUGUUUUCAGCUCCAAAGUCAGCUAGUCUGGAAGCAUUUCUCUUUGUCCUGCUGCUGGCAGUAUUGAUCUGAAAAGCUGCAGGUGGAAGCAGCAGCCUGAGGUCCCCACUCACAGUGUAUCUGGGGACCUCAAGAGCCACGCUUGCUUCUGGCUGCCAAGAGCUAAAACCCAGGCAUGAGCAUAGGAACCUGCUUAGCAGUGCCUGAACUGCUGGUGCAUCUUGGAAGGAUUAGUACCUAAGUGCUUUCUGCACAAGUGUUGUGAGUACCAUCCUGUCAUAAUUUAAAAACCUGGAGUGAAAUAGAGCCCCUUGGGAUUGUUUGCUCCUGUGUGUGCCUCAUGGCUUUCUAAUUAAAAAAAAAAAAAAAAAAAAAACCA